AGCUGAGUUUGAUCCUGGCUCAGAUUGAACGCUGGCGGUAUGCCUUACACAUGCAAGUCGAACGGUAGAGGGGCAACCCUUGAGAGUGGCGAACGGGUGAGUAAUACAUCGGAACGUGCCCAGUCGUGGGGGAUAACGUAGCGAAAGCUACGCUAAUACCGCAUACGACCCGAGGGUGAAAGCGGGGGACUCGCAAGAGCCUCGCGCGAUUGGAGCGGCCGAUGGCAGAUUAGGUAGUUGGUGGGGUAAAGGCUCACCAAGCCAACGAUCUGUAGCUGGUCUGAGAGGACGAUCAGACACACUGGAACUGAGACACGGUCCAGACUCCUACGGGGAGCAGCAGUAGGGAAUUUUGGACAAUGGGCGAAAGCCUGAUCCAGCCCAUUCCCGCGUGCAGGAUGAAGGCCCUCGGGUUGUAAACUGCUUUUAUACAGGGAAGAAACGACUCUUGCGAGAGGCAUUGACGGUACUGUAUGAAU
rnacentral:rRNA from 1 species